CCCAUAAACAAAGAACCACGAGGAAGCCUGGAAAGAAACCGGUCCAGGUGACGGCGAUCAGAAUCAGAGAAUAUGCCAUGGAUUAAGAUUCCAGAGUCGUUGGCAAUGGCAUGGCAUCUCUCCCUCCCUGUCGAUUCCUUCAAGCUCCUCUUCUCGCUACAACGGUUACCCACUUUCUCCUCUCUAUUUAUUUCAUCAUCUUCCUCCAGCUCUUUCACGCCAUUCCUCCAGGAAGAAUCUGAACACUCCCGUUUCAGCCUCUGAUGGUAUCUGCUGUUCACGCGGGAAUGAUGGAGAUUUCUAACAGCAUUUGCGAAAGCGCGGAAAAAGAACCAGAACCGAAGAAGGCACAAGAUGUCGC